ACGGCCUUCGGGUUGUAAACCUCUUUUAGUAGGGAAGAAGCGAAGUGGUUUACACAGAGUGACGGUACCUGCAGAAAAAGCACCGGCUAACUACGUGCCAGCAGCCGCGGUAAUACGUAGGGUGCAAGCGUUAUCCGGAAUUAUUGGGCGUAAAGAGCUCGUAGGCGGUUUGUCGCGUCUGCUGUGAAAACUGGGGGCUCAACCCCCAGCCUGCAGUGGGUACGGGCAGACUAGAGUGCGGUAGGGGAGAUUGGAAUUCCUGGUGUAGCGGUGGAAUGCGCAGAUAUCAGGAGGAACACCAAUGGCGAAGGCAGAUCUCUGGGCCGUAACUGACGCUGAGGAGCGAAAGCAUGGGGAGCGAACAGGAUUAGAUACCCUGGUAGUCCAUGCCGUAAACGUUGGGAACUAGAUGUAGGGGCCAUUCCACGGUUUCUGUGUCGCAGCUAACGCAUUAAGUUCCCCGCCUGGGGAGUACGGCCGCAAGGCUAAAACUCAAAGGAAUUGACGGAAUCGAAUU
rnacentral:rRNA from 1 species